rnacentral:tRNA from 1 species
GGAGGAGUGGCCGAGUGGUUGAAGGCGGUGGUCUUGAAAACCACUGACCCUUAAAGGGUCCGCGGGUUCAAAUCCUGCCUCCUCCGCCA